rnacentral:rRNA from 1 species
GACGAACGCUGGCGGCGUGCCUAAUACAUGCAAGUAGAACGCAGUGGCGAACGGGUGAGUAACGCGUAGGUAACUGCCUCAUAGCGGGGGAUAACUAUUGGAAACGAUAGCUAAUACCGCAUACUGUGAGAUUGACCUGCGUUGUAUUAGCUAGUUGGGUAGGUAAAGGCGCACCAAGGCGACGAUACAGUGCCGACCUGGGAGGGUGAUCGGGCAAACUGGGAGUGAGACAACGGUCAGACGACGUCGGGAGGCAGCAGGUAGGAAAGUUCGGGAAUGGACGGAAGUCUGACCGAGGAACGGCGGGGGAGUGAAGAAGGUUUGCGGGACGGUAAGCUCUGGUGUUUGGGAAGCGGUAACUAACCAGAAAGGGACGGCUAACUACGUGCCAGCAGCCGCGGUAAUAC